rnacentral:rRNA from 1 species
CUACGUGCCAGCAGCCGCGGUAAUACGUAGGGCGCAAGCGUUGUCCGGAAUUAUUGGGCGUAAAGAGCUCGUAGGCGGCUGGUCGCGUCUGUCGUGAAAACUUCCGGCUCAACCGGGGGCUUGCGGUGGGUACGGGCCGGCUAGAGUGCGGUAGGGGUAACUGGAACUCCUGGUGUAGCGGUGGAAUGCGCAGAUAUCAGGAAGAACACCGAUGGCGAAGGCAGGUUACUGGGCCGUUACUGACGCUGAGGAGCGAAAGCGUGGGGAGCGAACAGGAUUAGAUACCCUGGUAGUCCACGCCGUAAACGUUGGGCACUAGGUGUGAGGCUCCUUUCCGGGGGUUUUGCGCCGUAGCUAACGCAUUAAGUGCCCCGCCUGGGGAGUACGGCCGCAAGGCUAAAACUCAAAGGAAUUGACGGGGGCCCGCACAAGCGGCGGAGCAUGCGGAUUAAUUCGAUGCAACGCGAAGAACCUUACCAAGGCUUGACAUGUUAACCGUGGCUCUAGAGAUAGG